GUGAAUCAUCGAAUUUUUGAACGCAAAUUGCGCUUCCUGGCAUCCCGGGAAGUAUGCCUGUUUGAGGGUCAGUUUUAACAAAAAUUCGGUUUGGUUUCUGCCUUUCGUGGUGACGCACCGGAUUUGGGUUGUCUUGCCUUCGGUUAAGUGACCUAUAAUUUUGCAUGUUUUUUUCGAACGUAUUUAAAUGAUUUUAUGUACGUUUGUGUUAUCGAAUACUAGGUUCGGUCAUCCUCA
rnacentral:misc_RNA from 1 species